UAGUACGGCGAGUGAAGAGGGAAGAGCCCAAGAUUGAAAGCUGGCGUCUUCGGCGUCCGCAUUGUAAUCUCAAGAAGUGUUUUCCGCUUCGGACCAAGCCUAAGUCCCCUGGAAAGGGGCAUCAUAGAGGGUGAUAAUCCCGUACAUGGCUUGGAGCGCCCGAGGCUCUGUGAUACGCUUUCUAAGAGUCGAGUUGUUUGGGAAUGCAGCUCAAAAUGGGUGGUAAAUGCCAUCUAAGGCUAAAUAUUGGGGAGAGACCGAUAGCGAACAAGUACAGUGAUGGAAAGAUGAAAAGAACUUUGAAAAGAGAGUUAAACAGUACGUGAAAUUGCCAAAAGGGAAGGGUAGGAGGUCAGAGAUGCGGCCUGGGAUUCAGCCUUGCUUUUGCUUGGUGUUUUUCCCAGAUUGCAGGCCAACGUCGGUUUUGGGCACUGGAGAAGGGUAGGAGGAACGUGGCACCCCUCGGGGUGUGUUAUAGCCUCCUACUGGAUACAGCGACCGAGACCGAGGACAGCAGCGUACUCGCAAGAGCGGGCCUUCGGGCACCUUUACGCUUAGGGCGUUGGCAUAAUGGCCCUCUACCACCCGUCUUGA
rnacentral:rRNA from 1 species